UUAAGGGAGAUAAGGGGUUGUAGAGAGGGUCCUCUCUUUCAGAUUUUGCUCCAAAAUCAGAACAACCAAACCUUCCAUCUGAUUUGCAGAGAGUUUUCUCCAGGGACCAACCAGAGACAACCAAGGACGCUGUAGAGAGAGAAAGUGGUUCUUUCUGCUCUUGAUUUUGCUGUGGUGGAUUGAAGAGUGAAGGGCGUUCCUUUCUCUGUGGUGGAGACAUGUUGGACGGUCGUUCGUGCGUUGUUCCGAGGUUGUUUUCCAGCACUUGCCAGGCAGAGAACGACUGGUCUUACAUGAAGUGCUUGCUGGAGUUGGACAUCAAGAAUGGAAAGCGCCCUAUGGAGAUUGAUGAUGUUGAGGAUGAGCCCCAGCAGCCGAGGAAGUGUACCAGGAAGUUGGAUUCUUACAAUAGAGUUGAAAUGGCUCGAAUUUCCCUUCAAAGGCAAUCUAUUGAGGCCAAUGAUUCCGUUGUUUCCCAGAUGGAUCAGGAGGCCAUUGAGCCAUUGAACGUUUGUGAAGUAGUUGUCGGAGAAGAUGGAGCUUUGACCGACCGGCUAUUUGGUGAGCAAGAACAGGAGGGUGAUGGUGAUUUGAUGGAUGUUGGUGACCGUCAAUCCGAUGAACAGCAGCAGGCUAAGCCUGGGGAUUUAUCAGAUUUUGGUGCCAGGCUAUCUGAAUAUCGGUUGGAGGAUGAUGAGAAUCUAAUGAAUUCAAGUGAACAGCAAUCUGAGCAGCAGCAGCAGCAGCUUGGUGGGGAUUCUUCAGAUUCUGGUUCACUCUUGCCACGCAUGAACCGUGACAGCUCAAUAGCCUGUCUCAGCCGGUGUUCAAGGUCAGACUACGGUUCUCUAGCCUCGUUGACUAGGAGCUUCCGGAACAUAAUCCGAAGUGGUGAACUCUAUCAAUGGAGGAGACUAAAUGGUAUUAUGGAGCACUGGAUUUAUUUUUCCUGCGCCCUCCUGGAAUGGGAGGCCUAUGAUCCAAUCCGUCAGAGGUGGAUGCAUUUGCCAAGGAUGGCUUCUAAUGAAUGCUUUAUGUGUUCAGACAAGGAAUCUUUAGCUGUAGGAACUGAGCUACUUGUGUUUGGGAGGGAGCUAAGAUCUCAUGUGAUUUACAGAUACAGUCUGUUGACAAACUCAUGGACAUCUGGAAUGAGGAUGAAUGCUCCAAGAUGCUUGUUUGGCUCAGCAAGCCUUGGAGAGAUUGCAAUAUUAGCUGGUGGGUGUGAUUCAGAGGGACACAUCCUGGACUCUGCUGAAUUAUACAAUUCUGAGACUCAAACAUGGGAAACACUGCCAAGUAUGAAGAAACCAAGGAAGAUGUGUUCUGGGGUGUUUAUGGAUGGACAUUUUUAUGUUAUAGGGGGGAUUGGGGGGAGUGAUUCUAAGGUCCUAACAUGUGGAGAGGAGUACAAUAUUCAGAGCAGGACAUGGACAGAGAUUCCUAACAUGUCCCCAGGAAGAAGUAGUAGGGGUCCUGAGAUGCCUGCAACAGCUGAGGCACCACCUCUGGUUGCAGUUGUAAAUGAUGAACUAUAUGCUGCUGAUUACGCUGACAUGGAGGUUAAGAAGUAUGACAAGGAAGAAAAAGUGUGGAUUACCAUUGGGAGACUGCCAGAACGUGCAGUGUCGAUGAAUGGUUGGGGUCUUGCAUUCAGGGCAUGUGGAGAUAAGCUUAUUGUGAUUGGUGGACCUAGGACUCAUGGUGAGGGUUUUAUUGAGCUCAAUUCAUGGGUGCCUAGUGCAGGGCCUCCACAGUGGGAUCUACUUGCUAGGAAACGUUCUGGCAACUUUGUUUAUAAUUGUGCUGUGAUGGGAUGUUGAAGCAUUGAAUUUUCAAACUUACACAUUUUGAUGCUUCAUGUCCAAGGAGUUGCACAAACAUUGAUUCGUCCAUUGACACAGGAUUCUUGCUAAUUGAAAUAGCAAGUGACUCGCUCCAACAAAUCUAAGGGAUCAAUCAAGAAUGAAAGCAAAGCAACAUAUGAUGAAGAUGAUGUUUCAGUUAACACAUGAUGCUGGAUUCAUAAGCAGAAAAAUAUUUGUUAUUAUUAAACUUUGGAAGAAUUAUAGAUAGAUUUUUAUUUUAAAUAAAAACUUGUAUCCAGAGGUAUCUCACAAGUACAAGUGAUGAGACCAAUCUCCAAGAAAGUAGAAUAUCAAUUAAGGAAUUUUUUUACCAAUAAAUCCUACAUAGUCAGGGAAAGUAGUUAGUAUGAAACUAAAGCCCAAUUAAAUAUUUUGUCAAAAGUUAAUGAUUUAAAAAAAAAAGGAGUAAAGUCUCCCCUUUUUCUUCCAACAAAAGAGGGAAAACAUUUUGAAACAAAAAAAAAAUGUUCAGAAAUUAAGAUGAGUGGUCAAUAUCUUCUGUUGUCUUAAGUUAUGGUCUGAAGAAAAUUCAAUUGCCAAAAAACAGCAUAAUGGGCCGAAUCUACUGGUGUCUCUUCUCAUGAGAUUUUGAAAGUCCUAAGUUGUUUUUUGUUGGGUCUGAUAUCUUUAAACUACUAAAUUCCCUUAUGUAAAGCUAUCCCUAUAAAACUCAUUGAUUGAUGAAGAAAACAUGGUUAUAUACAUGCAUAAAUCAUGUUUGUGGAACACAAAUUUGAACAUUUAAAAAUGGUAUAACUUUUUGAAACUGAAAAGCAUGCUUAAUUGGACCAUAGUAAUUAAGUUUUUACUUCGUGUAACCCAUGUUUGAUGGAUCGGGGUUCCAUGUUAUGCAACUCACUAAUGCAUGUUGAAAAGUUGGGCUUUAAGUAUGGAUUCAAGUUGUCUAUCCCUUUAAAAUACAUUUUCAAUAAAAAAAAAGAGAAAAUUAUUACUUUGAUGAUUACAAUUUAUAAACAUGAAUAAUAUUUUCUAAAACUUUUCGUAAAAAUGUCUGAUGGGUUUUCAAAUAACUAUCAAAUAAGGAUAUUUUUCAGACGAUGAAAUAAAAAGCUUAAUAAAAGUUUUUAAGGAAGAAAAACAAUAAAGUAUAAUUUUUAUAUUAGUUUACUCUAUUCAAGCUAUGUCAAGUUUUUUUUUAAGUUUGUUUUUUCACUCUUCUCAUUCUCUCUUAAUAGAACAUGUUUUUAUUCAUUCUUCCAUUUCUUCAUCAUUUUUGUUAGGUUGAAGAAUAUUAGACAAUAUAUGCACUGAGGUAAAGUGGAGUUGAUAUUUUAUAAUCAUUCUUGAACAUACUCUCUCUUCAUUUCUCACCUUUUCUCUUUUCUGCUUUUUCAUCAACUUUCUUCUCUUUAGUUGAUCUUCUUUAUAUAGAUUAUCUUGUGAGAUAAUCGUUAGAUUCUAAGUUGAUAUCAAGAUAGGCUUCAUAGACUUUAUCGGUAACUUGGUCAGACUCAGAUUUAUGUUGUAGAGUAGCAUAGUUUUUUUUUUUGUGUAAAUAACUUGUAUGAUCCUUUUAGGCAAAUUUUUUUGAUGAAGCAUUCUAAGAAUGCUUUUUUAUCUCUUAAUGCCUUUUUUACCUUUGUGCAGAACUUCUACAUUGAGCUAGGUGCUAUCAUUUCAUACAUAGAUAAAGAGAACAAAGUAUGCAAGCACGAAAACACUUUUUCGUACAACAUUAAAUGUUUUAUUCGUUAAUGAUCGUACAACUCAUUGCAUGUUCAGAACAUAUUUUACGUUAACAUCAUUUAAUUAAUGCAUCACUUAUUAUCAA